UGAGGAAUAUUGGGCAAUGCCCGCAAGGGUGACCCAACAACGCCGCGUGGAGGAUGAAUGUCGUAAGAUUGUAAACUCCUGUUAGAGGGGAAGAAUAGUACCGGUUGGACCGGUAUAUGACUGUACCCUCAGAGAAAGCCCCGGCUAACUACGUGCCAGCAGCCGCGGUAAUACGUAGGGGGCAAGCGUUGUCCGGAUUUACUGGGUGUAAAGGGCGCGCAGGCGGGAUAAAAAGUCAGUGGUGAAAUCCUACAGCUUAACUGUAGAACUGCCUUUGAUACUUUUAUUCUUGAGUUCGGGAGAGAGAGACGGAAUUCCAGGUGUAGUGGUGAAAUACGUAGAUAUCUGGAAGAACACCAGUUGCGAAGGCGGUCUCUUGGUCCGACACUGACGCUGAGGCGCGAAAGCGUGGGGAGCAAACA
rnacentral:rRNA from 1 species